AUUGAACGCUGGCGGCAGGCCUAACACAUGCAAGUCGAGCGGAUGAAGGGAGCUUGCUCCUGGAUUCAGCGGCGGACGGGUGAGUAAUGCCUAGGAAUCUGCCUGGUAGUGGGGGAUAACGUCCGGAAACGGGCGCUAAUACCGCAUACGUCCUGAGGGAGCAAGUGGGGGAUCUUCGGACCUCACGCUAUCAGAUGAGCCUAGGUCGGAUUAGCUAGUUGGUGGGGUAAAGGCCUACCAAGGCGACGAUCCGUAACUGGUCUGAGAGGAUGAUCAGUCACACUGGAAGUGAGACACGGUCCAGACGCCUACGGGAGGCAGCAGUGGGGAAUAGUGGACAAAGGGCGAAAGCCUGAUCCAGCCAUGGCGCGUGUGUGAAGAAGGUCUUCGGAUUGUAAAGAACUUUAAGUUGGGAGGAAGGGCAGUAAGUUAAGACCUUGCUGUUGUGACGGUACCAACAGAAUAAGCACCGGCUAACUUCGUG
rnacentral:rRNA from 1 species